GAUGAACGCUGGCGGCGUGCCUAAUACAUGCAAGUCGAGCGAAAAGACAAGAAGCUUGCUCCCCUGCCGUUAGCGACGGACGGGUGAGUAACACGUGCAUCGCAUUCUUCUUUGACUUGGAUAACUUCGGGAGACAGCAGAUACUACUAGAUCAUAUAUCCUACCGCAUGGUUCAAUAGUGAAUCACGGCUUUCCCGACUCUUAUAGCUGGUUCCGCGUCGCAUUAGCUACUUGGUAAGGUCACGGCAUACCAAGGCAACGAUGCGUAGCCGACCUGAGAGGGUGAUCGGCCACACUGGAACUGAGACACGGUCCAGACUCCUACGGGAGGCAGCAGUAGGGAAUCUUCCACAAUGGGCGAAAGCCUGACGGAGCAACGCCGCGUGAGUGAUGAAGGUCUUCGGAUCGUAAAACUCUGUUAUUAGGGAAGAACAAAUGUGUAAGUAACUAUGCACGUCUUGACGGUACCUAAUCAGAAAGCCACGGCUAACUACGUG
rnacentral:rRNA from 1 species